rnacentral:lncRNA from 1 species
GCAUUGGUGAGGGGGCGCGGGCUGCUUGGCCAGGGCAGUUCCCUCAGCUCCGGGUUGGAGCCGGAGCCGGAGCCGGAUCCCGCGCACACCGCCACGUCAACCUAAACCUACACCGCCCUCUCCACCCCACCGCCGCAGCGCCCGCUGGGCCCGCAGCGGGUCUCCCCAGGCAGCGUCCUCCACGCCUUUCCCACAAUGCUCCGCGCCAGGCCCCGCCCCGGCUCGCCGUGGAGACCGGCGCGUGAGGAACCUACCGGUACCGGCCGCGCGCUGGUAGUCGCCGGUGUGGCUGCACCUCACCAAUCCCGUGCGCCGCGGCUGGGCCGUCGGAGAGUGCGUGUGCUUCUCUCCUGCACGCGGUGCUUGGGCUCGGCCAGGCGGGGUCCGCCGCCAGGGUUUGAGGAUGGGGGAGUAGCUACAGGAAGCGACCCCGCGAUGGCAAGGUAUAUUUUUGUGGAAUGAAAAGGAAGUAUUAGAAAUGAGCUGAAGACCAUUCACAGAUUAAUAUUUUUGGGGACAGAUUUGUGAUGCUUGAUUCACCCUUGAAGUAAUGUAGACAGAAGUUCUCAAAUUUGCAUAUUACAUCAACUGGAACCAGCAGUGAAUCUUAAUGUUCACUUAAAUCAGAACUUGCAUAAGAAAGAGAAUGGGAGUCUGGUUAAAUAAAGAUGACUAUAUCAGAGACUUGAAAAGGAUCAUUCUCUGUUUUCUGAUAGUGUAUAUGGCCAUUUUAGUGGGCACAGAUCAGGAUUUUUACAGUUUACUUGGAGUGUCCAAAACUGCAAGCAGUAGAGAAAUAAGACAAGCUUUCAAGAAAUUGGCAUUGAAGUUACAUCCUGAUAAAAACCCGAAUAACCCAAAUGCACAUGGCGAUUUUUUAAAAAUAAAUAGAGCAUAUGAAGUACUCAAAGAUGAAGAUCUACGGAAAAAGUAUGACAAAUAUGGAGAAAAGGGACUUGAGGAUAAUCAAGGUGGCCAGUAUGAAAGCUGGAACUAUUAUCGUUAUGAUUUUGGUAUUUAUGAUGAUGAUCCUGAAAUCAUAACAUUGGAAAGAAGAGAAUUUGAUGCUGCUGUUAAUUCUGGAGAACUGUGGUUUGUAAAUUUUUACUCCCCAGGCUGUUCACACUGCCAUGAUUUAGCUCCCACAUGGAGAGACUUUGCUAAAGAAGUGGAUGGGUUACUUCGAAUUGGAGCUGUUAACUGUGGUGAUGAUAGAAUGCUUUGCCGAAUGAAAGGAGUCAACAGCUAUCCCAGCCUCUUCAUUUUUCGGUCUGGAAUGGCCCCAGUGAAAUAUCAUGGAGACAGAUCAAAGGAGAGUUUAGUGAGUUUUGCAAUGCAGCAUGUUAGAAGUACAGUGACAGAACUUUGGACAGGAAAUUUUGUCAACUCCAUACAAACUGCUUUUGCUGCUGGUAUUGGCUGGCUGAUCACUUUUUGUUCAAAAGGAGGAGUUUCUCAACUCAUUGGAUGCUAAAGAAAUAUAUUUGGAAGUAAUACAUAAUCUUCCAGAUUUUGAACUACUUUCGGCAAACACACUAGAGGAUCGUUUGGCUCAUCAUCGGUGGCUGUUAUUUUUUCAUUUUGGAAAAAAUGAAAAUUCAAAUGAUCCUGAGCUGAAAAAACUAAAAACUCUACUUAAAAAUGAUCAUAUUCAAGUUGGCAGGUUUGACUGUUCCUCUGCACCAGACAUCUGUAGUAAUCUGUAUGUUUUUCAGCCGUCUCUAGCAGUAUUUAAAGGACAAGGAACCAAAGAAUAUGAAAUUCAUCAUGGAAAGAAGAUUCUAUAUGAUAUACUUGCCUUUGCCAAAGAAAGUGUGAAUUCUCAUGUUACCACGCUUGGACCUCAAAAUUUUCCUGCCAAUGACAAAGAACCAUGGCUUGUUGAUUUCUUUGCCCCCUGGUGUCCACCAUGUCGAGCUUUACUACCAGAGUUACGAAGAGCAUCAAAUCUUCUUUAUGGUCAGCUUAAGUUUGGUACACUAGAUUGUACAGUUCAUGAGGGACUCUGUAACAUGUAUAUUUGCUGGAAAGAAGUUAAAACAAUGAACAAGCCUUUUGAAAUCUUUGUUUAAAUGAAAUUAUUUUCUCAGUAUAACAUUCAGGCUUAUCCAACAACAGUGGUAUUCAACCAGUCCAACAUUCAUGAGUAUGAAGGACAUCACUCUGCUGAACAAAUCUUGGAGUUCAUAGAGGAUCUUAUGAAUCCUUCAGUGGUCUCCCUUACACCCACCACCUUCAACGAACUAGUUACACAAAGAAAACACAACGAAGUCUGGAUGGUUGAUUUCUAUUCUCCGUGGUGUCAUCCUUGCCAAGUCUUAAUGCCAGAAUGGAAAAGAAUGGCCCGGACAUUAACUGGACUGAUCAACGUGGGCAGUAUAGAUUGCCAACAGUAUCAUUCUUUUUGUGCCCAGGAAAACGUUCAAAGAUACCCUGAGAUAAGAUUUUUUCCCCCAAAAUCAAAUAAAGCUUAUCAUUAUCACAGUUACAAUGGUUGGAAUAGGGAUGCUUAUUCCCUGAGAAUCUGGGGUCUAGGAUUUUUACCUCAAGUAUCCACAGAUCUAACACCUCAGACUUUCAGUGAAAAAGUUCUACAAGGGAAAAAUCAUUGGGUGAUUGAUUUCUAUGCUCCUUGGUGUGGACCUUGCCAGAAUUUUGCUCCAGAAUUUGAGCUCUUGGCUAGGAUGAUUAAAGGAAAAGUGAAAGCUGGAAAAGUAGACUGUCAGGCUUAUGCUCAGACAUGCCAGAAAGCUGGGAUCAGGGCCUAUCCAACUGUUAAAUUUUAUUUCUACGAAAGAGCAAAGAGAAAUUUUCAAGAAGAGCAGAUAAAUACCAGAGAUGCAAAAGCAAUCGCUGCCUUAAUAAGUGAAAAAUUGGAAACUCUCCGAAAUCAAGGCAAGAGGAAUAAGGAUGAACUUUGAUAAUGUUGAAGAUGAAGAAAAAGUUUAAAAGAAAUUCUGACAGAUGACAUCAGAAGACACCUAUUUAGAAUGUUACAUUUAUGAUGGGAAUGAAUGAACAUUAUCUUAGACUUGCAGUUGUACUGCCAGAAUUAUCUACAGCACUGGUGUAAAAGAAGGGUCUGCAAACUUUUUCUGUAAAGGGCCGGUUUAUAAAUAUUUUAGACUUUGCAGGCUAUAAUAUAUGGUUCACACAUGAGAACAAGAAUAGAGUCAUCAUGUAUUCUUUGUUAUUUGCUUUUAACAACCUUUAAAAAAUAUUAAAACGAUUCUUAGCUCAGAGCCAUACAAAAGUAGGCUGGAUUCAGUCCAUGGACCAUAGAUUGCUGUCCCCCUCGACGGACUUAUAAUGUUUCAGGUGGCUGGCUUGAACAUGAGUCUGCUGUGCUAUCUACAUAAAUGUCUAAGUUGUAUAAAGUCCACUUUCCCUUCACGUUUUUUGGCUGACCUGAAAAGAGGUAACUUAGUUUUUGGUCACUUGUUCUCCUAAAAAUGCUAUCCCUAACCAUAUAUUUAUAUUUCGUUUUAAAAACACCCAUGAUGUGGCACAGUAAACAAACCCUGUUAUGCUGUAUUAUUAUGAGGAGAUUCUUCAUUGUUUUCUUUCCUUCUCAAAGGUUGAAAAAAUGCUUUUAAUUUUUCACAGCCGAGAAACAGUGCAGCAGUAUAUGUGCACACAGUAAGUACACAAAUUUGAGCAACAGUAAGUGCACAAAUUCUGUAGUUUGCCGUAUCAUCCAGGAAAACCUGAGGGAAAAAAAUUAUAGCAAUUAACUGGGCAUUGUAGAGUAUCCUAAAUAUGUUAUCAAGUAUUUAGAGUUCUAUAUUUUAAAGAUAUAUGUGUUCAUGUAUUUUCUGAAAUUGCUUUCAUAGAAAUUUUCCCACUGAUAGUUGAUUUUUGAGGCAUCUAAUAUUUACAUAUUUGCCUUCUGAACUUUGUUUUGACCUGUAUCCUUUAUUUACAUUGGGUUUUUCUUUCGUAGUUUUGGUUUUUCACUCCUGUCCAGUCUAUUUAUUAUUCAAAUAGGAAAAAUUACUUUACAGGUUGUUUUACUGUAGCUUAUAAUGAUACUGUAGUUAUUCCAGUUACUAGUUUACUGUCAGAGGGCUGCCUUUUUCAGAUAAAUAUUGACAUAAUAACUGAAGUUAUUUUUAUAAGAAAAUCAAGUAUAUAAAUCUAGGAAAGGGAUCUUCUAGUUUCUGUGUUGUUUAGACUCAAAGAAUCACAAAUUUGUCAGUAACAUGUAGUUGUUUAGUUAUAAUUCAGAGUGUACAGAAUGGUAAAAAUUCCAAUCAGUCAAAAGAGGUCAAUGAAUUAAAAGGCUUGCAACUUUUUCAAAAACCUGUUAGAAUAUGCUUUAUUGUGUUUUGAGGAGUUUUCCUUUUUUUCUUUUCAAUAUCACUUUAUCCUGCUCACCAGUAUUUCCUCAUAAGGGUUAUUAUAGCCAUAAUUAAUGUUAAAAUAGACUUUGUUCUUCAUAUUCUCCCAUCUUUUUCGCUACUAUAUACUCUGUCUGGAUUCUGCUGUAUGCCUGUUGGCAUAUAUGGAACAGUCACCACUUGUCACACUUAACACCAGCUUUUUGAAUUAUGAUCAGUAAUGGCAAGAGCCUUUCAUUCUCGAAUGUUUAAAGCCUAGGAGUUCUACAAAAUUGGCUUCUUUCUACAAGAAUCCCAAAAUGGAAUGCCUAAAGAAGUCUUACUUGGGUAAAUACUUACUAAAAUAUACUGGUUAUGUGCAUAUCACCACACUGGACACUGAGGAGUGUUCAAAAGGAAUCUAAGACAUGGUCCCCAUCUUCCAACUGUCUGUAAUUCACUGUUUUGUCAUUGAGCUCAUAAGGUACUUACAUUACUACCUAUAAAUGUUUCCUGUACUUGUUAGUUGUUGAGAAACAUUUUAGGCAGUAAAUAAAAUAGUAAAUAUUAUGUGUCCUAUAAUUUGACCUAAGCUGUGUGCCUUUGGAAUCAGCUCUAAGCCAGGGCCCCCUGGGAGUCAUGUUAAGAAACACGUAUCAUAAAGUGACAUACAUCAAGGUUAUCUUAUAUAGUCAUAACAGUAUUAUUGGGUCUUUCAAAAACAGCUGGCAGAUUGAGCUUUUAAUGGCUAUAUUGAUACAGUAGAUAGAGCACCUCUAAGGAGUACCAGGUAUAAUGUGCCAUUUCUCUCAGCAACACCAUUUUUGUGUGCAGCUGACCCUCUAACAUGGUAUCAAUUCUAGCUGACCAAAGCACAUUCUAUCAGGCAGCCAGGCUUGGAAAUUAGGUCCAUUUAAAGUAUGUGGCUUACAGUCAGGUAUGGUGGUGUGCGCCUAUUGUCCCAUCUACUUGAGAGGCUGAGGCAGGAGGGAUUGCUUGGGCUCAGGAUUUUGAAUCCAGCCUGGGCAACAUAGCAAGACCCCAUCUCUAAUAAAUAAAUUAUGUUUUGGGCAUUAAUGAUGUUUGUCUAUUCUGAUUUCUCAAAUUUUAUUUAGGUCUUUCAUAGCUUUUUUAUUUAAAGGUAUAUGAUUAAGAUAAAGGAAAAGUAAAAUGAAAUGUUUAUGUAAUUUUAUAUUCUCAAAAUUUUCUUUAAAUUUGCUCUGUUUUCUGACAGUGCUCAAAGUGGGAAUUUUUUUAGAAGUACGGUUAUCAAAAAAACACAUUUCCUAUGGGACACACAUUUCAAAGAUGUUUAGUACGAUAAAAUUUUUAGUAAAAGGGUAGCACUUUUAAGUCAUUUGAAUAGAAUAUUUGUGUAAUAUUUAGUCUAGUGUUAGUCCUUAAAUCUGCCAACAAAACCAGAUAGAUGUCUUAAAGUAGGCACAUUUAUUCCAUUGUGACUGUUAAGAAAUAAUAAAAGAUUAAAUUAACAA